rnacentral:rRNA from 1 species
UGGGCGAAAGCCUGAUGCAGCAACGCCGCGUGAGUGAAGAAGGCCUUCGGGUUGUAAAGCUCUGUCUUUUGGGACGAUAAUGACGGUACCAAAGGAGGAAGCCACGGCUAACUACGUGCCAGCAGCCGCGGUAAUACGUAGGUGGCAAGCGUUGUCCGGAUUUACUGGGCGUAAAGGAUGCGUAGGUGGAUAUUUAAGUGGGAUGUGAAAUACCCGGGCUCAACUUGGGUGCUGCAUUCCAAACUGGAUAUCUAGAGUGCAGGAGAGGAGAAUGGAAUUCCUAGUGUAGCGGUGAAAUGCGUAGAGAUUAGGAAGAACACCAGUGGCGAAGGCGAUUCUCUGGACUGUAACUGACGCUGAGGCACGAAAGCGUGGGUAGCAAACAGGAUUAGAUACCCUGGUAGUCCACGCCGUAAACUAUGAAUACUAGGUGUAGGGGGGAACCUCCCUCUGUGCCGCAGUUAACACAAUAAGUAUUCCGCCUGGGGAGUACG